rnacentral:rRNA from 1 species
AUACGGAGGAUCCGAGCGUUAUCCGGAUUUAUUGGGUUUAAAGGGUGCGCAGGCGGCCAUUUAAGUCAGCGGUUAAAUCGUGGGGCUCAACCCCAUUCUGCCGUUGAUACUGGGUGGCUUGAUUGCGGUCGAGGUUGGCGGAAUUCGUUGUGUAGCGGUUAAAUGCAUAGAUAUGACGAAGAACACCGAUUGCGUAGGCAGCUGACCAGACCGCAAAUGACGCUCAUGCACGAAAGUGCGGGGAUCGAACAGGAUUAGAUACCCUGGUAGUCCGCACAGUAAACGAUGAAUACUUGUUUUCGGCGAUAUAAUGUCGGAGGCAAAGCGAAAGCGAUAAGUAUUCCACCUGGGGAGUACGCCGGCAACGGUGAAACUCAAAGGAAUUGACGGGG